UGAAAUUGCAAAUCGCCAUGAGAACCAAAGGAUCCGGCAAAAUACUACCUGCCAAAAUAAGUCUCCUUGAAUAGAAAGACGUGUAACAAUGCAGGUACAGUUACAGCAACUAAUCCAUGGAAACUAGAAACAACAAUGACAGACAUCAAGGUGGAGAUAUGCAAUAGAUAAGAAGACUAAAAUCUCAAUGAGAACCCCAAAAAAAAAAAAGUUUUGUAACAAUGAGAACCAAAAAAAAAAAUCUCAAUGAGAACCAAAAUACUACCUGCCAAAAGAAGUUUCCUUGAAUAGAAAGACGUGUAACAAUGCAGGUACAGUUACAGCAACUAAUCCAUGGAAACUAGAAACAACAAUGACAGAUAUCAAGGUGGGUACAACUCCAAGCAUAGCAGUUUUUAGAAGUGACACUCCAACAUAUGCCUCAAACAUACGGGACACCAUAACACCAAAAGAGAGAGAGAGAGAGAGAGAGAGAGAGAGAGAACAAGAAUAAGAUCCAUGGAAUCUCAAGUCCAGUAUCGGUACAAGUUUAUGAGUUAAUCUUAUAUACACUGACAGUAUAUACACUAUCACGGUUAGAUGCAUGGCACAUCAUCUAUAUUUUAGUAUCUUUUGUUUUAGAAUGAAUGAUAACAGCAAAAAAUUAUGUUAUUUGCUUAGCAUAUAAAAUGGUCCAGUUUGUUUUUUGGAUAAUGUGAACCAAAAUAGGA
rnacentral:lncRNA from 1 species